rnacentral:rRNA from 1 species
UAAUACGGAGGGUGCAAGCGUUAUCCGGAUUCACUGGGUUUAAAGGGAGCGUAGGUGGCUUUGUAAGUCAGUGGUGAAAUAUUGCGGCUCAACCGCAAAACUGCCAUUGAUACUGCUUAGCUUGAAUCACGUCGAGGUGGAUGGAAUAAUACAUGUAGCGGUGAAAUGCUUAGAUAUGUAUUAGAACACCGAUUGCGAAGGCAGUUCACUAGGCGUGUAUUGACACUGAGGCUCGAAAGCGUGGGGAUCAAACAGGAUUAGAUACCCUGGUAGUCCACGCCCUAAACGAUGUAAACUCGACAUUAGCGAUAUACUGUUAGUGUCCAAGCGAAAGCGUUAAGUUUACCACCUGGGAAGUACGACCGCAAGGUUG